CAGGAGCUUCUAACGGCCGCUGCAGUGACGCGAUGACUUUACCAAUCGGCGAUUGGCUCUUAUUUAAAAGGCGGGACUUAUUCCGCCAUAUUCCGCGUUGCAUUUUCUAUCAUUCAAAACAAUACGAGUGAGGCGUCUUAAAGUCAUUGCGUGAUUUGAGAAUUCAUCUGUUUUUUUCCAAACAAUAUUGCGUAGUAGUUUUUGUUGCAGAAGAAACGGGAGAAAUAUUGUAAUGAGCGUGAGAGUUUGGCGGACAGCUAGAGGGGCUGCCAAAUGGGUUCUUUUGGACGAUCCAGUAAACCACCGUCAUGGAGUCUCAGAGGCCAGGCUCUGGAGUGGGACAGAGAACACUGUCAUUAAAUUCCAGGACACAGCAGGCACUUAUUGAGACUCCCUUAUUUGCAUCGACAGAAUGGCUCUUCAUUUUAUGAGAAUGACUACCAUAAAAAGGAUGUAGGUUGGUCUCGGGGGAGGCUGUAUGACACACGCGAUCAUCAUUAUGUGCUGGCGAUCUCGCUUCUGAUUGGUUAAUUCUGAAUAAAGUGUAGAGUGAAAAUCUCAGAGGGGUGCCGCAACAGAGCCAAAGAUCACUUAGCGCUGUCGUCUCUUGCCCAAGAACAUGGAGAAGAGCCAGUUCCUGAUCCCGCAGGGCCUGUACAGGAAAGCAGUGAGAUGGGGGACCGAUGACAGCAUGGGGUUUUUGUGCCCAGCAUGGUGGGACCCAAAAGAGGAGGAAUUAGCAGAAAUGAAUUAUUCCAAGGCCAGUGAAGUUAUCCAAAGUGUAAUCGAGCCACGGAGGCUUGGGGAAGCCGAGGGGGCCAUGCAAAAGCACUCCAUCAAACCACUGUGGCAGCUGACUCGGGGCCGACAGACACAGUGGAUGUGUUGGGGGGCAGCCAGGCUGAAGAGAUGCUAAGAAAAGCUGAUAAAUGGCAGCUUGAACCUCUCCAGCUCCACCCAUGCUGCACUUCGGUUCACAGCAGGAGAACAUGCCAGCCUGAACGGACACCCUGUCGCUUCAGCUUAGCCUGGAGAGAGAGAGAGAGAAAGAGAGAGAGAGAGAGAGAGCAAUGUGUUUCUCAGCUCUACGCUGACACCCGCCAUUUACACCCACACAUGCAAGAAUGCACACAGAACACACGUACACACAUCACUCCACAUCACAUAGUCUGUUGUCUGUCUGAUCCUCACCAAAGCUGUAGCUCAAUAAAAGGGGACUUAUUGAAUUUAGCUCUACAUAAUCAGUCUCGUCAAAGCCGGGCGCAAAUCAAGGAGACACAUUAUUUUGACUUUUUUGUGUUUCUUGGAUAGAUUAUCUGAAUUGAUCUGAAACAAUGAACAGUUUUAUUUCUUAUGACUUGAUCUCAAAGUAUGUGUAUUAGAUUUAUAUAUAUAAAAAAAGAUUUUUAGAUUGCAGAUAGCCAAAAAAGAUAAAAUCAUUGUUUUUUUUUGGGCUGUGUAGAUCAGUGAAAAUUGCAAUACUUUCAAUUGAAGAAUGAAAGAUCUGCACUCGCUUGUGUCUUCUUAAUGAAUUAUUAGUUUUUUAUUAUGCAACAAAGCACAUCAAGAUCAAUCAAACGUUUCAGCAAUCAGCCUUUUUUAGUGAGACUGCAGAUAGCCCAUAUCAGGGGUUUUCAAACUAGGGUUUUUUAGGGCUAUGAAAAUGAUUGUCUUUUUCUAUAAAGGAAAUGUCUAAUACAAUAAAUGUUAAGACAUUUACUAAUUUAUAUUUACUGUAUUAGUUUCAUUCUGAUUUCUAAAGACUUGUCAGAAUAAAUGAUAUUUAAUAUUAUUAUUUAAUUCUCCUACUAAAAUAAACUAAUAUUUUCUUCUGGAAAUAACAUUUUAUUCUGCAGCCGUGGUUUUUAGAAAUAAGAAAUAAAACUCAAAUGUUCGCGUGCUAUGAAAAGAAUUCUUAGUGUUCAUCUGUCCUGUCUUGUGGUGCACAUGUUAAAUCUUUAUAAAUUGUUGGUUCUUUUAGAGUUUUUCCUCACCAUUGUCACAAAUAGCUUGCUCACUUUUCUCUGUAAAACUGAUUUGCAACAAUAUUUAUGUCAAUUCAAAGCAAAUAUAUUUCAGAUAAUAUUUUAAUGAUUUGCCUUGGCUUACAUUUUAUAUUUACACUUGUACUGUAAAUAUAAAAGCCAAUUAUUUCACUUAGAAACAAUAUUAAGUUAUAAUGCUUUAUGUUGACAUGAAAAUAUCGGUAAUUAUCAUAUUUCAUUGUCCUUGGCAUAAAUUUGUUUUGAAAGCCCACAACCUAAACCUUUUUUUUUUUUUUCUCCAGUAAAAGUGUUUGUUUUGCUUUGAUGCAUUGUAUUUAGUACAUACACUUAUUAGAUUGUGCCGAUAUCCUGUCGACUACGCCAAAUCUUGCCGACUAUGUUAGGUCGGAUAGAUCUCCAC